rnacentral:tRNA from 1 species
GUUAAGAUGGUGGAGUGGUUAACAAGUUCGCCUGCUAGGCGGAUGCCUUCGGGCGCGCAGGUUCGAAUCCUGUUCUUGACC